UUAGCCAUUUCCUUUUCCAACAUAGGAGGUUGAACACGGGAAGCUGUUUCUCUCCAGCGUUGAGCAUAUUCCCUGAAGCACUCAUUGCUUUUAAGAGACAAGUUCUGAAGUUGAGUUCUGUCUGGAGCCAUAUCUACAUUAUACUGAUACUGCUUCACGAAAGCCUCCGCCAAAUCCCUCCAGCAACGGAUGUGGGCUCUGUCCAGCCUCAUGUACCAUUCCAAGGAUGCCCCAGCUAG
rnacentral:lncRNA from 1 species